rnacentral:rRNA from 1 species
ACGCACGCUGGCGGCGUGCUUAACACAUGCAAGUCGAACGGAAAGGCCCUGCUUUUGUGGGGUGCUCGAGUGGCGAACAGGUGAGUAACACGUGAGUAACCUGCCCUUGACUUUGGGAUAACUUCAGGAAACUGGGGCUAAUACCGGAUAGGAGCUCCUGCUGCAUGGUGGGGGUUGGAAAGUUUCGGCGGUUGGGGAUGGACUCGCGGCUUAUCAGCUUGUUGGUGGGGUAGUGGCUUACCAAGGCUUUGACGGGUAGCCGGCCUGAGAGGGUGACCGGCCACAUUGGGACUGAGAUACGGCCCAGACUCCUACGGGAGGCAGCAGUGGGGAAUAUUGCACAAUGGGCGGAAGCCUGAUGCAGCAACGCCGCGUGCGGGAUGACGGCCUUCGGGUUGUAAACCGCUUUCGCCUGUGACGAAGCGUGAGUGACGGUAAUGGGUAAAGAAGCACCGGCUAACUACGUG